rnacentral:rRNA from 1 species
AACGAACGCUGGCGGCAUGCCUAACACAUGCAAGUCGAACGAGACCUUCGUGUGUGGUGGCGCAUGGGUGCGUAACGCGUGGGAACCUGCACUUAGGCUCGGAAUAAUACCCCGUCAGGGGUGCUAAUGCAGGGUAAUGUACUCUGACACCAUAUUUGACUUAUUUGGUUGGGCACGCGUUGGUUUAGCUAGUUGGGAGGGUAAAAGCCUACCACGGCGUGGAUACAUAGCUGGUCUGAGAGGAUGGGCAGCCACACUGGGACUGUGACACGGCCCAGACUCCUACGGGAGGCAGGAGAGGGGAAUAUUGGACAAUCGGCGAAAGCCUGAUCCAGCAAUGCCGCUUGAGUGAUUAAGUCCGGAGGGUAAUAAAGCUCUUUUACCCGGGAUGAUAAUGACAGUACCGGAAGAAUAAGCACCGGCUAACUCCGUG